ensembl:lincRNA Gm42749 predicted gene 42749
AGAGUCCUGUCCUAGCUGCUUGUGGAUCAACAUGUAGAACUCUCAGCUCCUUCUCCAGCAUCAUGUCUGCCUAGAUGCUGCCUUGCUUAUCUGCCAUAAUAAUGGAUUGAACCUCUAAAAAUCUUGUCUGAAGAGCCGAGAAAAUGAACCACCAUUUUAAGAUGACGUCCAGAGCAGAUAAGCAAGAGGAAGACACCAAAUAUGUUCUUUAAGGGCCAAGAUGAUGCUGAUGUGCCAGGUUUCAGAUUUGAGAGCAGCAGCUGAGGCCAUGAUGCACCUGGAGCCUAAAGCAAAGACGGAAAAACCUGAAUGACAGCCCAGGAGUUUCCAGAGCAGUACAAAGUCCUCUAUCUGGCUCCUACAACUGUCGUAAUAAGAACUGCCAUCAUUUGCUGAUGAAAAUUAGGAAUGUAUUAACAGCAAUCACAUUUAACAGCUACAUCUGUGGGGUUUGCCAGACAUAACACAUUUUGAAUGAACUUGAUGAUCUCCGUUGCUUCCUAUUGAUAGAUUGAGCUACAAACAAGGAAGCCGAUUUUAAUAUGCAUCCCCAUUGAAUUUAAACUGACCACCAAGCUUAUAAUCUCUGGCUGUAGAGACGAGGACACAAAGGGUUAAGUAACUUCCCCAAAGUCACACAAGCAGCCAUGUUGUUGUGACAGAAAACAUUAUUAGGGUCUUGGAGGAGGAAAUGUCCCUUCUCAAACAUUCAGCC